CGGAGAAGAUAUCGCCCCUUCAACGUGAGGCCGGAGAUCGGCGACAGCUGCUUCUGAGAAGCUUCCUGGUCUGCUACCCACGGGCCAUCUCUUUCAGUAGCUCUGGUACCUCCUUCAGUCAACAGAGAGCAAUCAAUGGCAGGGAAUGUAUGGCAGGCUUGCUCUUGCACAGCUGGCCAGCUGGAAUAUGCCAGCGGUAUCUUUGUGCCCGGUCAACGGUCAACGUACCGGCUUCUCAUCUUUGGAAUAAUGAUCCCAGCCAGUGAUCUCAAGACUCUGCUGGGCGAGAUGGGGUCAACGUUUCCGGUCGGUCAGCUCAGCUGUAACCUUAACUGCUGCUAACCAGAAAUGCAAUGCAAUGCAAUGACCUUGGGCCUGACUAGCAAGCAACAAUGCUCCUGAACUGAUUACAUAAUGUGUUCUUGAGAUGGUGGACGGAAUGGAAUCGGGAUCGGAAGAAUAUCCGUGAACACGGGGCAAUUGAUCAGUGGCAAGAAAUUCAUGGUUAGUUCUUGCACAGCUAGCUAGAUGGAGACUUGGAAUGUACUCUCUGUACCUUCUGCAUGUUGGUCAUGGUCCUUGGCUUUCAGAUGGAUGGGGUGAUCCAAGACUGAACUUUGAAGGCUUGCUGACCCAGACCAGGUCACACACGCCCUGCUGCAAGCCAUUUAAUACCUUAAGUCCUUAACUAUUGGUACGUACUAAUCAGGACUGCAAUGGUACGACUUGUAAUGUACGUAUGUAUGCGUGUACUUAGCAAAUAAGUGAAAUGUUUGAUUGCAUAUCUUGGCCAGAUGUUGGAGACGAAAAAAAACGAGGUUUCUCUUUUUAAUUUAAUUAAUUUGUGUUGAUGCAAGCA